AGUCGAACGGAUCCAUAUUGAAACCUAGUGAUGUAUGGAUUAGUGGCGGACGGGUGAGUAACGCGUGGAUAACCUGCCGUAUACAGGGGGAUAACACUUAGAAAUAGGUGCUAAUACCGCAUAAGCGCACGGUUCCGCAUGGAACAGUGUGAAAAACUCCGGUGGUAUACGAUGGAUCCGCGUCUGAUUAGCCAGUUGGCGGGGUAACGGCCCACCAAAGCGACGAUCAGUAGCCGGCCUGAGAGGGUGAACGGCCACAUUGGGACUGAGACACGGCCCAAACUCCUACGGGAGGCAGCAGUGGGGAAUAUUGCACAAUGGGGGAAACCCUGAUGCAGCGACGCCGCGUGAGUGAAGAAGUAUUUCGGUACGUAAAGCUCUAUCAGCAGGGAAGAAAAUGACGGUACCUGACUAAGAAGCCCCGGCUAACUACGUGCCAGCAGCCGCGGUAAUACGUAGGGGGCAAGCGUUAUCCGGAUUUACUGGGUGUAAAGGGAGCGUAGACGGCUGAGCAAGCCUGAAGUGAAAGGCGGGGCCCAACCCCCGGACUGCUUUGGGAACUGUACGGCUGGAGUGCAGGAGAGGUAAGUGGAAUUCCUAGUGUAGCGGUGAAAUGCGUAGAUCUUUCUGGAAACACCAGUGGCGAAGGCGGCUUACUGGACUGUAACUGACGUUGAGGCUCGAA
rnacentral:rRNA from 1 species